rnacentral:rRNA from 1 species
UACGAAGGGGCUAGGCGUUGCUCGGAAUCACUGGGCGUAAAGGGGUGCGAUAGGCGGGUCGUUUAAGUUCAGGGGUGAAAUCCGUGGAGCUCAACUCCAGAACUGCCUUUGAUACUGAAGAUCUUGAGUUCGGGAGAGGUGAGUGGAACUGCGAGUGUAGAGGUGAAAUGCGCAGAUAUUAGGAGGAACACCGGUGGCGAAGGCGCCAACUCUGGGCCGAAACUGGAACGCUGAGGAGCGAAAGCGUGGUAG